rnacentral:rRNA from 1 species
CGCGCNGCUUAAACAUGCAAGUCGAACNNUUNGGUCCCGANUUAUCGGGAUACACGAGUGGCGCACGGGUGCGUAACGCGUAUGCAACCUACCUUUAACAGAGAGAUAGCCCUGAGAAAUUGGGAUUAAUAUCACAUAAUAUCAUAAAGCAGCCUUGCUUAAUGAUUAAAGCUCCGGCGGUUAAAGAUGGGCAUGCGUAACAUUAGUUAGUUGGUGAGGUAACGGCUCACCAAGGCAACGAUGUUUAGGGGUUCUGAGAGGAUUAUCCCCCACACUGGUACUGAGACACGGACCAGACUCCUACGGGAGGCAGCAGUGAGGAAUAUUGGGCAAUGGACGCAAGUCUGACCCAGCCAUGCCGCGUGCAGGACGACAGCCCUAUGGGUUGUAAACUGCUUUUAUAUGGGAAGAAACCCUCCGAUGCGUUGGAGGCUGACGGUACCAUACGAAUAAGGAUCGGCUAACUCCGUGCCAGCAGCCGCGGUAAUACGGAGGAUCCAAGCGUUAUCCGGAUUUAUUGGGUUUAAAGGGUGCGCAGGCGGUCUUAUAAGUCAGUGGUGAAAUCUCUCGGCUCAACCGAGAAACUGCCAUUGAUACUGUAGGGCUAG